UUGAGGAAGAAGAAAAGAGAAAAAAAGAACUGGAAGGAUUUUUCUAAAGAAGACAAAGGCUAUUUUAAUGAGCCAUAUUUUGUUCAGUUAAUUUCUCAAGUUAUUGAACUGUGUAUUCAUUUAUGUUCAUGAAGUGCUUAAUAUUUUGCGGUGCUGCUUGAUGCAUGUGGUUGAAUGAUUAAGCUUAUCAGUAGCAAUUUUUUGAUUGCAGAGAAGAAGGAAAAUGCUCACUAGAAGGCUCAGAUCGUUCAGGUUCCCUCCUCCCAGGUUCUCUCUCAACAUCUCAUCUUUCUGCAUAGAUUUGGGAAAGAAGAUCACAACGGUGUCUUGCCCGAGUUUCUCCUCUAAGCUUUGAACUUGAAGCUGCAUUGAAGUUGGCUAGAUAUUUGUGCAGAGAAGAAGGAAAAUGAUCACUAGAAGCUCAGAUCGUUCAGGUUCCCACCUCCUAGGUUCUUUCUCAAGAUCCCAUCUUGCUGCAUAAACUCGGGAAAGUAGAUCACAACGGUGGCUUGCCCGGUAAUAGAUUCUUGGCUCCUACUAAUUUACAUGUUGUACUAUUAAAACUUCAAUUAUCCGUGUGUAGCAGAUUUUGGAAGCUUUGUUCGAGUGGGAAGAGACACCGAGGAAACAUUUAAUGGUAUAUGCUCCUUAUUAUUUACUAAAAUCAUUUCCUUACUGUUAUUUCACUAGAAUUAUUUCUUCCUUUUUUGUUACCACAAUUGGUUAUUUGUCAUCUGAAAUUAGAUUCAGAAUAAUCUCAUUUUUUGCAUCAUGUGAACCACCUGGUUCUCAAUUUCUCCAUGUUUUCCUAGAGGUGCUAAAGUCUAGGUGAUUUUUGGUUGGUGUAUUAGCAUUGGAUAAGAAAGAAUUGUAAUUUUAUAUAUCUUAAAAAGAUUUGAAUGUUAUGAACAAUUAAUAACUCUAGGUCUUUAACUGUGAUAGCCGAGGAAUAUUUUACAGUAUUUUGUUAUCUCCAAGAAAGCCUAGCUCUCACCGAUGAGAAUGACACUUGGGUCUUGGAAAACUCCAGGUAUUACCACCUCUAAGGUAUAUACAGAUUUCAAACUGGACAAUAUAUCACCCUUAUCAGUUUUCAUUUGUUAUGAAAAUCAUCCAGUCAGAUUCAAACACAAUUUUUAGCUUUUACUUAUGCAUAGGCUUAAUAGAAGAGACCUGUUGCGGCGUAUGAUCUUUUUUUUCAAAAAUUAUAGAUGUGUAUUGCACAUUGAACUCAAAACUGAGAGAGGAGAUCAUUGGUUCUUUCAAAAUCUUAGUUUGCCUUGGCAUGCUAGAACUUUGCUUGGACAUGCUAGAAAUAUUGUUGUUCAGAUUUGACAACUGCAUUCAGUUUAAAUAUGUUGGCCGGUCUGCAGAUCUCAGUCGACACGUGGUUGCUCAUUUGGUUCCCAUGCACCGCUCCUUCGUAUUCUUGCGAUACGACGCUACCUCCUGCUAUUAGCAAUGUUGUUAAUCAGUUAUCAUUGCAGUUAUUUGGUACUGUUGUGGGUUCUUUUGCAACUGUUUUUUUCUGUUGGUAUGGAUGCUCACAAGGGUGCCCAGUUUAUCUUGGAAAAUGGUCGGCAGG